CAGUCGCCGCGUAACACCGAGGAUGCAAGCGUUAUCCGGAAUGAUUGGGCGUAAAGCGUCUGUAGGUGGCUUUUCAAGUCCGCCGUCAAAUCCCCGGGCUCAACCCCGGAAUUGCCUUUAAGACUGCAGAGCUAGCAGGUGAGAGAGGUGAGUAGAAUUCCGAGUGUAGAGGUGAAAUUCGUAGAUAUUCGGAAGAACACCAGUGGCGAAGGCGGCUCACUGGCUCAUACUGGACGCUGAGGUGCGAAAGCGUGGGGAGCAAACAGGAUUAGAUACCCCAGUAGUCCCUGUCUCUUAUACA
rnacentral:rRNA from 1 species